UGAGGAAUAUUGGUCAAUGGGCGCAAGCCUGAACCAGCCAUCCCGCGUGCAGGAAGACGGCGCUAUGCGUUGUAAACUGCUUUUCCAGGGAGAGAAACUUGCGCACGUGUUGCGCAAUUGACGGUACCCUGGGAAUAAGCAUCGGCUAACUCCGUGCCAGCAGCCGCGGUAAUACGGAGGAUGCGAGCGUUAUCCGGAUUCAUUGGGUUUAAAGGGUGCGUAGGCGGACUAUUAAGUCAGUGGUGAAAUCCUGCAGCUUAACUGCAGAACUGCCAUUGAUACUGAUAGCCUUGAGUUUGGUUAAGGUAGGCGGAAUGUGUAAUGUAGCGGUGAAAUGCUUAGAUAUUACACAGAGCACCAAUUGCGUAGGCAGCUUACUGAGCCGACACUGACGCUGAGGCACGAAAGCGUGGGGAUCGAAC
rnacentral:rRNA from 1 species